rnacentral:rRNA from 1 species
AACGAACGCUGGCGGCAUGCCUAACACAUGCAAGUCGAACGAGAUCUUCGGGUCUAGUGGCGCACGGGUGCGUAACGCGUGGGAAUCUGCCCUUUGGUUCGGAAUAACAGUUGGAAACGACUGCUAAUACCGGAUGAUGACGAAAGUCCAAAGAUUUAUCGCCAGAGGAUGAGCCCGCGUAGGAUUAGCUAGUUGGUGUGGUAAAGGCGCACCAAGGCGACGAUCCUUAGCUGGUCUGAGAGGAUGAUCAGCCACACUGGGACUGAGACACGGCCCAGACUCCUGGGGGAGGCAGCAGUGGGGAAUAUUGGACAAUGGGCGAAAGCCUGAUCCAGCAAUGCCGCGUGAGUGAUGAAGGCCUUAGGGUUGUAAAGCUCUUUUACCAGGGAUGAUAAUGACAGUACCGGGAGAAUAAGCUCCGGCUAACUCCGUGCCAGCCGCCGCAGUAA